CCCCCCAGCAUUAGAUUCUUCUCUUAAAAUCAAAAUCCACCUUCAGUGAGAGAACACUGUUCUCUAAGAGGAACACCUGGACUCUUUACAAUCCCCACGUGGAUUUGCUCCGAUAACUGUUUAGCCUCAAAACAACAUCUGCCCUUAGCCGUUCAGCAUAAGCAAUCAGCUGACACCAGAGAUCAGUAAAGCACCCCAUCUGGUGGGAAAAGUUCUUUAUUAUAAAGAUUCGACGCCCCCUCCCCCUACCAACUUCCGGUUCUGAAUGGCCACACAACGGAGGGGGGCCGGGAGUGGGGGAGCACACUGCAGCCUGAGAAAAGAAAUGAGGCGAUCGGAGGAGGAAAGGGAGGCUUGUGCCAACAGACGUCCAAGCCUUGCUCCUCCAGCCCCACAGGGUUUACUUGAGGUCAAGCCAGAUUUUUUUACAGGAGAGGGGAGGAGAAUAAAAGAAAAGAAUCCCAGAGGCUCUAAACAGCAGUGCUGAGCAGGGAAGAAAACAAAAUCUGACAGUGGGCCACAGGCAGGGGCAAGGGGGCCCCUCUGGAGUUCAAGGCCCCGUCUGCACACCACGCAUGUGAAUUUGGACAAGUUGGUUAACUACUACGCCUUGCUUCUCCCAUCUGGAAAAUGGGCAGCAUGCCACCCGACAGCUGUGUCCGGCUGCAGGGAGGGCAGGGGUCUCCAUAGCACGCCCGGGACACUGUGGGGUACGCGGGGCUGCUGUCAGCGGGCGGUCCCUGGAGCCAGCUGCUCGCGGAGUCCCCCGCUGCCUCGGUUUCCCUCCCGGCCCCCCGGGACGGAGCGUGCUGGGAUGUCAGCCCUGCUGGUGCUGUCACUGCAGCCCGGUCCCUGGAGCGAUACCGUGCCCACCCAUCCGGGAGCCCGGCCCACUCCAGGGGGAACCCGGGUGUCCGCCCCGGACUCUUGCAAAGCCUCGGGCGGGCCCAGGGAGAGCGGCGCCCACCCACGCACCUGACCCCGCGCUCCGGCCCAGCGGCGUCUGCAGCCGCAGCCCGCACCGCGCACAGCGCACCGCGCUCCUCUCCACCCGCCCGGCAGCUCGCGCCUGGGCGCACGCAGCUGCCAGCGCUUCGGCUCUGCGCCUGCUGCAGCGGCGCGCCGCGAUGACGCGGGCGGCGCGCGGCAGUGACGUCGGGGCUGCCGGCCGCCAGGCUUAGCGUAAGGCGCUUGGAGGAAGGGGACGGUGGGGACGGAGAGCAUGGGGAGUGAGCCUGAUGUCUACACUGCCCAAGCUGCAUGCUUCGUGCAUCGGCCGAAUAUUGCAACUGUUGCUGCAGCCAAGAUGAUCACGUGACCGAGUAGUCCAGGGCAAUGUGACCUAAAAGAAGAGCAGCUGUGAGGAUUGCCCCAGCUCUGCUCUCCCAGUUAAAGGGACAACAGCAGGCAUUGCUGCUUCCCUGCUUCCCGUUCCAGCUGAUGUCCGGAUUCCAUCAGGUCCCCACCUAUGUAAGCCACUACCAUGUGACAGGAUUCUGUCACUCUCCAGCCAAGGCACAUCUGCUUGGACUAUAAUUGUAGGCACGUUUCUUGCUGCUAGAAUGAUUCAACCACUUGGAAAAAUAAACAAGCCCAUAGAAGAGAAGGACUUUGGAAAUCAGCUUCGCCAGCCUAGCAGGCUGACGGCUGGCAGUGGAAGGGGUGGGCUCAGUGUCUUUCAGAAGCUACCCUAGGCCAUAGGGGCUGAAUAUCCCUGACUCACUUGGAACACAUGCAUCACACUGCAAGGCCCGCACUUUCACUGAAACUUGCUUCAUCACUAAAUGGAUAAAUAGAUUAAGUUCCAAAUAAAGCCAAAGGAGGGUUUUCCCGUAUUAGGUCUGAUGUUGGCUGAAACCCUGUAACUGUCUGCACCACACCAUUCCUUUGGAUUGACGCAUCCAUCGAGUAUCAUUGCUGGUUUAAAGAAUCGCAUUACCAAAUCUAAACAGUUCUGAGCAUCAAGUAAUGACUAUUCCGACGCCUAGAAAAUUCAAGAGCCUCCAAAAAAGCUGCAUCAUGAAAACUGGGCCCAGACCAGAGCUCCAAACCACUUACCCGGCUUCAAACGAUACUUUUUUUUUUUUUUUGCAAGUUUUGAGGUGCACAGAAGAGUGGCUGAUGGUAGUGUAAACUUCUGCUGCUUGGGCGUUAAAGCAAGCUUGGCUUCAGUUUAAGGAAGGACAGAGCAGGCAGCAGGCCCUCCAGGAUACAGUGUGUCUUUGGAGCCUCAGGGAAGGCUCACAUUGUAGAGCUUGUCACAGAAGAAAUAGAACUCUUAAAGACACCCGGGGCCCAGGAAAGGAUGAGGAGACUCAGAAAAAAAAAAAAUGACCAGGGCUUCUCCUUGGUCCUCCAUGAGACAUGCAUACUCAGGUAAGGAACAGAGGUAGAGUUCUAAAAAUGCUCACUUUUGAAUUCUGGGCAAUGGAUUAAUUCAACAUUCCCUCGUUCACAACCCAUCAGCAAUCUGUUUUGUACCAGACAUCUCACCAAGUAUUGCUGGCAGAAAAAACCGAUAAUGUCAGGCAUGGAUAUGGUCCUGGCAAGGGAAGAGACUAGUGGAUCUUGACACAGAGUGGGAAGAGGGACAAGAGAAAAUAAGAAAGAAAAUAAGGACUGAAGAUUCCACGUCACAGCACAGUGAGGAGACCAGCCACAUGAUGGUCAGGUCACUGAACUAGAUCUUACCAGGCUGGAGGGUCACUGACGGUGGCACCUACCCUGAUAAAUAGCAGGUUCAGGAAUGGAGCUGCAGGGCUUUGCUUACUGGUCCUAAGAACGAAAUCAGAAUCAUUUCUCUGGCCCUGGAUAGAGACACGACAUUCUAACCACAACAUUUCUAGAUCACACGGUUACUAUCUAGCUUUCUGAUAGAGAACAGUUGCAUUAUUAUUUUCUCCUCUAUUAAGAGAUAAUCCAACUUGGGCAUUAUGGCAUAUUAUGUAAUCUCAGCCUUCAGGAGGCAGAGGCAGAAGGAUUGGAAACUCAAAGUCACCCUUAGCUACAUAGUGGGCUCGGGACUUCCUGGGCUGCCUAACCCCUAUCUCAGAAUAGAUAGAUAGAUAGAUAGAUAGAUAGAUAGAUAGAUAGAUAGAUAGAUAGAUAGAUAGAUAGAAAGAAAGAAAGAAUAUGGUGGAGUUUGCAUCUCUUUUACCUUGUUAGAUUACUUAAGAGCCAACGGACGGGUAGGGCUACACAUGUGCGCAAUCUCGAAGGAGGACAGGCAGUGGCCUGGGAGCCUCGAUGUUCUCAGGGAGAGAGGGAGGAAAGAAGGAAGGAACGAACGAUCGAACGAACGAAGGAAGUCAGUUCAUACAGACAGGCCCGUCAAUGUCCUGGACGUGAAAAACCCUUUGGUAAGAUAUUUGCUCCUGAAACUUCCAGACUGGAGAACUAUCUAAACAGUUAGGUCAGCAUAGAGUUAAUGUGGCUCUCGUCUGCUCCAUGAAACCAAAGUAUUUUCCUGUUUGAUCAUCUCUCUGGCCUUGUCUGCGCUAACCCCAGGAGAGCCUUGCCUUCCUCUGAGCCAUCUCUGGUCACUGUGCUCUGACAGCACCUCCUGUAAUCUCUUCUGCUCACCUUCUACACAACACACUUCGUCUCACCUAAAUUCAGACGAAGACCGUCACAGAGCUGAGAAUCUUAGGUAGAGGCCCGCACACUUACCCAUGGUGAAAACUACCUCCCCUGGAAAGGAGCACAGAGAAUCCCUGACCAGGAACCAAAUGAGCACGGCACACCCAGAGGGAAGUCAGAGCCAGAGAACUGUACCAAGGCCAGUCUGGACCGGGGAGGUGCAGAGGAGGAGUAGAAAGUCAGAACCAGAUGAAUAAGCCACAGUAAGAAGUUUGAAAUCUUAAAAAUGGUCACACGUGCCAUGAAUAGUAUGGUGGAGUUUGCAUCUCUUUUACCUUGUUAGAUUACUUAAGAGCCAACGGACGGGUAGGGCUACACAUGUGCGCAAUCUCGAAGGAGGACGGGCAGUGGCUUGGGAGCCUCGAUGUUCCCAGGAUCAUGCCUGGGGCAAGCUGGCAGUGCAGGAGUUCGUGGGCAGUAGGUUUAUUUUGUAAGCUCCCUUUAUCCAGCACUUGCUACAUGCCAAGCACAGUUGUAGACACACUAUAGGCACUAUCUCAGGCUGGCCUCUCAGCCAUGGACCAAGAGGGAAAACAGUUCAUGCCAGAAAGCAUGAGAGUAGGACUUUCCCACAGAGAAGCUCUUAGAUCCAGGGAUUGUUGAAACAGCCAAAGGCUUAUGAGGCAACCAGAGAUUAGCAAGAACACAAGCUAUGCUCCCAAGGUCUGGACAGACAGAGUCAACUGUGACAAAGGAAGCAAGCUGCCAAGAGGAACCUAAACUACAGAGCCACCACCCAACAAGGGGAGCGGAGCCUGCCUUGCCUUUCUCAACACUCUAAACACCGUCCAGCCUUCCUAUGAGCCAAAAACAAGCUGCUGCGGAGCCUGACCCAUCAUUUCCCCAAUAUACAGUGGACAGCAGGGAAGGAGGCAGAAAAGAUCUGAUCCCAAAUAUGGAAAUGAGGGGACCCAUCCUUCCCACAGCCCCACAAGAUAGGAACUCCUUAUAACUCCAGAUGGGAACACUGAGGCACAGAGUGACAUUCAGGUGAGUGUAGUUAAGUGGCACGAUCCUCGUGUGACUCCGGAACACAUGCCCCUAAGUCUUGCAUAGCCUGGUAGCAAGGGCUGGGAUGCCAUGUCCUUAGCCUGAGAAAACAGAUCCUUUUAUGAAGGCCUCCACCUGAAAGGCACAGAGCACUGUCACUCAGAUGAAGUUAACUGAAGAACUGAAUGGUUCACUGGGAGAUGAGAGCUCCCCACCCCCAACACACAUAUACACUCACACAUGCACACACAUGCAAACACACAUGCAUACAUACACUCACACACAUGCACACUCAAAGCCACAUAUACACACACUCAAGCACACACACAAUUUUAGACACAUGCAUGUUGUGGAUAGCCCUGGUUCUGUUUAUAUGUGGAUGCUAACUCAGCUUCUCCAAGAGGAGCUGCCUGGAAUGAGGAGGGAGGACUCCAUGUGACCCUUCUAAUGAAUAAAGGAACCAAUCACUGGGCAAGUAGGUGGGACUUCGAGAUCUGACAGAGGACAGUGGAAGAAGCGGGAGAGAGAGGGGUUUUUGGAUGGGGACAGCAGGAGCGCAAAAUGUAACUACAAGAGGCCCCCAGAUUAGAUGGUGAAUCCUGGUAGAUUCACCACCAGGGAAUUUAUAUUUAAUAUGGCUUACAAGAUUAGGAUUCUAAUUGUUGCACCCAAAGAUUGAAUUACCAUUGAUUCUGAACUAAGUUUGUGUGAUAUUCUCCUUCACCCAGUGGCUCGACUGGGUUCCAGAGAGAAAGAUACAGCAGCAAAGUGUGGGUUUGCAGGAGGUGCACCCCAAAAGGCCGUGGGAAUUUUGAAGCAUGGGGUUGGGGUGGUAGCGACCCACCAGUGGGAACUUGGGGAGCUGGGUAGAAAGAUUUUGGAGCUCUGAGUCAGAGAAGCUCCACAAGAUGAGAACAGGCCAGCCAUGCCCACCAGUGCCUGGCCAGCCAGCCCACCAGAGCCUGCCGGCUUAGCGUGAAUUGCAUCCUUUUUAAUAUUUCACACUACACAUGCACACACAUGCACACCUCUGUAAGCAGAAUGUCUGAGAGUUCUGUGAGGGCUGCAGAGCCUCUUCUACCUCUGCCUCUGCUUUAACCCUCUCUGACCCAGUUCACCCACAUGGAAUGUUGAUUAGCUGGGUUCAUUUACUGUUUAUAUCAUUUGAGAGUGGGAAUGGAACAAUGCAUACAAAAUCAUUAGCACAGAACCUGCCACCAGUGGGACACCCUCAGUGGCAGCCAUGGUUAUGUCUAGCUGAGAUGUGCUAUGGAUAUACCCAUAGUUCUUUGACAGUCUCAAAAGAUCUCAGGUGUACCUGAGCUUAAACCCCAGAAAAGAUUUUUCCCCUCUAUAAUUUCGAAGGUCACAUAAACCCUUGAAGUUUUUUUUUUCUCUGGGUUAGUCAGGAUGGGCUGAGUUUCAGGGCAGCAGUAAGUGACUCCGGAUUUUAAGACAACAAAGGUUAACUUGGUCACAUGCUUCAUGCUUGUCCACAAAAGUUUCCCCCAGGGCUGUGCUUGUGGAAGUCACUGAGCAAGCCAAGCAGAAGGAAGCCAUGUACUGGCAGACACCUCGCAGAUUGUCAAGAGUAGGGAAAGAUAUAGUGGUGAACUCUGACCUCUUCAUCCACUUAUCAGUUCUGUCCAAAUUUUGCUAGCUACAACAGUCCCACAGAGCAUGUGGGGGUGGGGAAGGAAGGAGCAGCCCGAAUGACCUCCAGAACAACCAGGGACAAUUCUGGUAGGACAGAGAUAAUGCAAAAGACCUUAAUACAGAUGAAGAAAUGCCAGAAGGUCUAAGUAGCCAGGUUGCACACGCUAACAGAGGGCACGUCUUUACCUUGGCUGGGCUCAGAAUUGCACCUCUGAAGAUAACAUGUUGCUUAGGAAAAAAAAUCUUUUGUUCCUAAAUAUCGCUUAAGACUGGAUCUCUGAAACUUGCCACUGUGCUUGAAAGACGCUUGGUAAGGUGUUUGGUGAAAGUCAGGCGCUUGUGGGAAUGGAAGGGAAGAAAGCAUUCUGUCCCCCAGAAGGAUCCUAGUAGACCAGAACACCUUCAAAGGAACCGUUCUACUCUUGUAUGAGUUACGGUGAUUUAUGGAACAACUUGAAGCCCAGGGUAAAGGCUCAGCUUGACCUGACAACCCAGACCCUCCUAGCUUCCUCUCUAGCCACUGGAUGUACUUCUCUGGAUAUCUUCUGUCGGCUCAGUUCUUUAAUUCUACCCCACACACUGAACUUACCCGACCAGGAACUUAGGCAUCCAGCUAAGUUUCUUCCCAUAACCAACACAACCUGAAAUCCCACCAGAGAUGCCUCCUGACAUACCCAGAACACAUUAUUCACCCUUCCUCCUGCUCUAGCCUAACCAUCCACCAUGUGUCUGGGAGGCCAACAGCUUAGACCUGGAUCCCCAGUCUAGAUCUGCCACUCUCUGCCUUCCUAAGCAUCCCUCUUCACAUCAUGCAGAACAAAGAAGACACACAGGCUAUGUCAGACAAGCAUCUCUCCUCAUCCCUAUUCCGUCUGACUACCAUGUAUUCCAUUGUCACCUAUGCACUAGUGGCUGAAACGUAUUCUCCACUGCCUGUCAAUGUUUGCCUUUACCGAACUCCCUAACUCACUAUCCUCAGUUUCUUCUCAUCCUUUCUCUGAAAUUGCUGCCCUGGCCUCUUCUAGUGUUUGAAUGAGAAAUGGCCCCAUGGUCUUGGGUGUUUGCACUCUUGGUUCCCAAUGGGUGGUGUCGUUUUGAAGGGGUUUAGACAGUGCAGCCUUGCUGGAGGAAGUCCAUCAGCUGUAAAGCCUUACAACCGUUCCAGUUUGCUCAUUUAGCUUCAAGGCUGUGGUUGGUGAUGUGAGCUCUCAACCUCCUGCUCCAGCUGCCAUUCUUCCCUCCAUGAGAGCCUCGACCCCCUCUGGAAUCAUAUUCCCAAAUAAACCCUUGCUUCCGUGGGUUGCCUUGGCUAUGAUGCUUUAUUGAAACAACAGAAAAUAACUAAUAAAACAUCUCCCAGUUCCUCAAGAAGGAUACAUGUGCCCCUCCUGAGCACUCUGCUCCUUCUCACAAUGGAGGAAGAUGGCCGUGGACUUCCUGCCUACCUCACAUCCCUACCAGCAUCUGGAGGCAAUACAAGUAAAAAAGAGACUAGGUGUUAGGUCCAGAUGUGAGCAUUACACACGGUGAGUGUGAAGACGUGGACUGUCUUAGUGAUGAACAAAGCCAACGCGAAGACGGGAUCUAAACACUUCUGCCCAACGAUCAUGAAAGGACUUUUCAAAUACUUACAGAAAGAACGGGAAGUGGCCAGAGAUGGUCUUGUCUUUACCCUCCCUCUCCCAGCUUCAGCCUUUGUCAAAGGAGAGAGCUUUCACAGAAAGGAAAGUCAGAACUACUUUGCAUAUUUCUCUGUUCCUAACGACUUCAAAGAAAACUAGGACUUCUUCACUCACUCAGCCUCAUUAGGAAGAAGAUUGACCAAAUUUAAUCAACACUCACUUUUUUAGCAUACUUUUGAGAAAACACGGUUUUAUUGCUUUCAAAGGCAGAAAAGCUCAAAGAUUUUUUUUUCUUUUGGGAAAUGUAUUUGCUUUGCUAUUAAAAACAUGCUCUGUGCAACUGU